rnacentral:rRNA from 1 species
UACGAAGGGGGCUAGCGUUGCUCGGAAUCACUGGGCGUAAAGGGUGCGUAGGCGGGUCUUUAAGUCAGGGGUGAAAUCCUGGAGCUCAACUCCAGAACUGCCUUUGAUACUGAAGAUCUUGAGUACGGGAGAGGUGAGUGGAACUGCGAGUGUAGAGGUGAAAUUCGUAGAUAUUCGCAAGAACACCAGUGGCGAAGGCGGCUCACUGGCCCGAUACUGACGCUGAGGCACGAAAGCGUGGGGAGCAAACAGGG